rnacentral:lncRNA from 1 species
AAUAUAUAUAUUUCUAUUCUACUUUUGUGAAACAGAAGGCCAAAGAAAAAUAUUCUUUUGGUAGAGUUUUGAGCUCAUCCACUUGUGCAGAGUUGUUAAAGCCACACGACGAUGGUCGAGCCAUUGUAUCCUGAAGGGGAUAAGUUAGUGUUUUGUUACAUCGUUUCAAAGGCUUUGCCAACCGUAGAGUUCUUAAAUCUCCUUAGAUAGAGUGAGAUUUUCGUGGCUCGGCUUGAUCUACUUGUCAACACUUUUUAUAUUAUUUUGUAAUCUAACCUCUAUUUUUUGAAUAUUUACACCAACAUCAUGUACAACUAUUUUGAUGAA